GAUGAACGCUAGCGAUAGGCUUAACACAUGCAAGUCGAGGGGCAGCAUGGUCUUAGCUUGCUAAGACUGAUGGCGACCGGCGCACGGGUGCGUAACGCGUAUGCAACUUGCCUCACAGAGGGGGAUAACCCGUCGAAAGACGGACUAAUACCGCGUACACUUGGGAUAGGGCAUCCUAUCCCAAGGAAAUGAAAUUCGCUGUGAGAUAGGCAUGCGUCCCAUUAGCUAGUUGGUGAGGUAACGGCUCACCAAGGCGACGAUGGGUAGGGGAACUGAGAGGUUGAACCCCCACACUGGUACUGAGACACGGACCAGACUCCUACGGGAGGCAGCAGUGAGGAAUAUUGGUCAAUGGGCGAGAGCCUGAACCAGCCAAGUCGCGUGAAGGAUGACUGUCUUAUGGAUUGUAAACUUCUUUUAUACGGGAAUAACAAGAGCCACG
rnacentral:rRNA from 1 species